rnacentral:rRNA from 1 species
UACGUAGGGGGCAAGCGUUGUCCGGAAUCAUUGGGCGUAAAGAGCGUGUAGGCGGCUUGGUAAGUCCGCUGUGAAAGUCCAGGGCUCAACCCUGGAAUGCCGGUGGAAACUGUCAAGCUUGAGUCCGGAAGAGGCGAGUGGAAUUCCUGGUGUAGCGGUGAAAUGCGUAGAUAUCGGGAGGAACACCAGUGGCGAAGGCGGCCUUCUGGAUCAGUACUGACGCUCAUGCACGAAAGCGUGGGGAGCAAACAGG